CCUUGAAGGGUUUGCAGCAGAAGCCUCCUAUUCUCUAUUGGAAUAGACAAAGCCCCUCCCAGUUUCAGUCACCAUCCUAAGUCCUCAAACCAACCAGCCCAGCCAGGUUCUGCCUAUUGUUCUGUUAGGUGCCCCAUUACUCCCCUGCAUCUCCCACGCAGGUGCCAACACUGUUCAGGUCUUAUGGCAUUAGCGAUUGGUCCCACCUGCAUGUAUUUGGGGGUUGAUGGGGACACUCGACACCUAAUUAUUUUGUAAAUGCUGUGUAUGGGUGUUUGCUUUUCCUACUUAGUUGUUCUGUAUGUUUUUACCUGGGGAUUUGAGUAAAUCCAAAGACUCUGCUGCUACCACCUCUGUGCAUCUCCCCAGAAUUCCCCCAGUAUCUCUUUUUAGGGCUUGAGAAAGCUGAAUUCCCAAAGAGGUAAACUAAUUUAAGUCACACAGCUAGUGAGUGGGGAAAUCAGCAUUUGGACCUGGUUCUGAUUCAGAGCCCUUUUUUGUUUUGUUUUGUUUUUUCCUACAUUUUGUUAAAUAACUGCAUUUGCUAUAGUAAUUCCCGGCUUUAAAACUUAAAUUAGUUUCCCAUGAAUAAAACCAAUCAAUCAUUUUAAAGACCUUCGGCAUUCAACAUUUCAUGCUGCCUGUCCAGCCUCAUUUCUGCAACUCCCUCAAACAUACCCCUGCUGUGGUCCCAAAAAGCUGUCCUCAUUUCUUCCCUGAUGGCCUGUACUCAUCCCCUGAAAAGCUGUCCUCAUUUCUUCCCUGAUGGCCUGUACUCAUCCUUUACCUCUUCUUCAGAGUCGGAAUCAGCUGGCCCGAUGGUGUUGAGUUAUCGGAACUUAUUAACAUUAGUGUCACUAAAAUUGGUAUAUAGACCCCCACUGCUAAAUUUGGCCUAAAAAAAAAAAAAGUCCAAAUCUACUGUCCCUCUGCUAACCAACUAACAAGUAACUUCAGUAAUUUUUGAUUUUUUUCUCGUGAUUUGUGGAGAUGAGGGGAAAUAUUUUGAGGCAUAAUCUGUGCUUUUCAAUGCCUGUCUACAUUAGCUUCCCUGCAGGGCCGUGCUCCCUCUGAAGCCUGCAGGAAAUUCUUCCUGGCUCUUGGUGGUUGCUGCAAACCCUCGUGUUCCUCGGCUUUAGAUGUGUUGUUCCAAUCCUCCAUCUUCACAUGGGGAUCCUCCAUGUGUCUGAUCACGGCUCACUGCAGCCUCAACCUCCUGGGCUUAAGGGAUCCUCCUGCCUCAGCCUCCCCAGUAGCUGGGACUACAGUUGUGCGCCACCAUGCCCAGCCAAUUUUUUGUUUUCAGUAGAGAUGGGUCUGAUGAUGUUGUCCAGGCUGGUCUCAAACUCCUGGAAGCAAGUAAUCCUCCUGCCUCAGCCUCUCAAAGUGCUGGGAUUGCAGGCGUGAGCCACUGUGCCACUGUGCCCGGCCAGGCCAUCUUCUUAUAAGGACACUGGCCCUUAUGCAUCAGGGGCUCACCUACUCCAGGAUGACCUCAUCUUAACUAAUUACACCUGCAAUGGCCCUGCUUCCAAAUAAGGUCACAUUCUGAGGUCCUGGGGAUUCAGACUGCAAUAUAUUAGUAUCUUUUGGACCCACAGCAUUCGUUCCCACUUUCCUUUCUCCCACUUCAAGCAAGAAAUCUCUUUUUUUUUCUUUUUUUCUUUUUUUUUUUUGAGAUGCAGUCUCACUCUGUUGCCAGGCUACAGUGCAGUGGCGCGACCUUGGCUCACUGCAACCUCCGACUCCCUGCCUCAGUCUCCCGAGUGGCUGGGAUUACAGGCACGUGCCACCACGCCCAGCUAAUUUUUGUAUUUUUAGUAGAGAUGGGGUUUCACCAUGUUGGCCAGGAUGGUCUCGAUCUCCUGACCUUGUGAUCCGCCCCCGUCAGCCUCCUAAAGUGCUGGGAUUACAGGCGUGAGCCACCACACUCGGCCAAUCUCUCUUUUUACUUUUUGCUUCAGGGGAGGGAUGGGAGAGCCAGCAAGCCCCUAUGGCUUUUGUGUUUUCUAGAAACCUAAGGACAAUUGGGAUGGGGACAUAGUGCCUUGGCCAGAAGCAGAGAACACGUAGGGGCUUCCCUCCAGAUUUGAAAAAUCCCCAACAGCGUGGCUAGGGUGGGUAGCAAGAUCCUGACAGUCCCGAGGCCCUAUUUUUCUACCACAAACCUUGAGGAAUACACAGGUAAGCCCUGGACUUACCAGGGGACAAGGGCCCCCCAGGGCUGAAGGCCCAUUAUGGUUGCUUUAGCUUCCUCUUCUCGCAGUGGAUUUAGUGAAACAGACAUCUUAGGUGACAAUGCACUGGGGAAUAAAGUCCACCCUAUUAUUCCACGUGUCUGAGACAUUUCACCAACAUCUCGUUUAGUUUUGCAACAUCUCUGUGUAGUAAAGCAAGGGCAAGCUUCACUCUACAGGCAUCAAGAAGUCAGACGACCUUUAGAAAAAUCCCCUAAGUCAGCAGCAAACCUGGGAAUAAAUCCAGGGUUUUCUGAUUCAACUUUUGUAUCUGCGUGUGAAUGUUUGCUCUAGACCUUGCUACCUUAGUAAAAUAGAACAAAGUACUGUGUAAACAGCCAGCACCUUGUAAAUUCUAGAUAAUGACCCUGCUCAGCCUAGAAGAGAUGGUCUGUUCACAAGGGAAGUAUUCUCCUUUUGGGGUUCUACACCCAUUCCCAAUGCUGGUGGAGAAGGUGUGGCUGGACUGCUUGGGCACAGCUGGCCCCAGGCAUGGCAGGAACGCCCUUGGCUGUGCACAGCGGCUGGGGUUUUAUUGCAUUUGUUUGGGAGAUUCUUAGACAAAGCACUGCUUCUUGAAGUUAAGUUCCAGGGAAAGCAGCGCAGUAUAAGGAAAUCGUUUUUUUUCCUUUUGGUUCCUCAAAUGGAGCUGCAUAUUCAAGGGGUAAUCCAGAUCCACAGCGUCUGUUCACAAUGGGCUCUGAGGCUCGUUCACUGGUGAAAAAACAAAUUGUUGAGGACCUUCUAUCUAACAGAGCCCAGGCCCUGGACUAGCGGGUGCAGGUGCUGCAGGGAACACAGCUGAGCCGCUGUCUUCAAGAAGCAUUCCAGUAGCAGGAGUGAGACUCACUUAAGCAAACACAUGCAGAGCCCGUCAGAUGGGGAUAGGGCUAUGGAGGUGAUGUGUGGAAGCGUGGAGCAGAGGAGUUGCUCUAGCUGUGGCACACUGGAAGGGCCUCUCAGAAAAGACUGGAGAGACAAGAACAGAGCCAGCAACUACCUGGCAUUGGAAGCAGAACAAACACCAACAGGGCUUCCUGUGAAAACAAAUGAAAUGAGAUGUCUGAUGUGCCGGCAUGGCAAGGGUUUAGUGAACCACAGCUGCCUUCGCCUCUUCCCACCCUCUGAGCCUCAGUUUCCUAAUCUGUCCAAUGGAGAUAACAGAAUCAUACCACAAAAUGCUGCUUUGGGAUUCAAAAGAAAACAAUAGAUGUGAAAACAACCUGUAAAUUGUAAACUCCGAUAAAGCCGGGCAUACAUAGCAGCGUGCACCUAUGGUCCCAGCUACUCAGGAAGCUGAGGAAG
rnacentral:lncRNA from 1 species